rnacentral:other from 1 species
CAACCCCUGCUGUGCUCGCGAUCAAUCUGGCCUUGUUAUGAGCCAACACCAUAACACAGGGAGCCUUAACUCUGGCUACUGAGGUCGAGCCUUUUUAAAAUGGAGGACCGAACUAGUUAGGUGGGCACCCACCUGCUUGCGCAGGUUCAUUCGGGUCAGUACUAGCGGUAUGGUGGGGGGCAU